ensembl:lncRNA
CUACAGUAUAUCCUCCACCCAUUUCUCAGGCAUUCACAGCGGGCACGGCGAGGCAAGGAGAUGGGCCUCGGGGCCGCAGGGCCUCGUGACCCACUUACAACCCCCCCGAGACUGAUCGGCAUCGGCCUGCCAGUUACAGUUAUGUAACUGAUGCUGGGAAAAGCAAGGAGAAGAAUUACAAGAGUAAAAAAAAAGAAAGGAGUCCAAUGUCUACCAGUGAAGGGGCUCGUCAGAGAGGAUCAUCCCAUCAGAUGGGAUCUGGGCGGGAUGUCGGAUGCUCACACUAAUACCACGAUUCUGCUGCUGUUACACGGUUUAUGAAUCAAUGAAUGCCCUCAUUGGACAGUCACCCAUGGAGUAAAAAAUUGACAUUUGAGGCCCCCACUGAGAGACACCUACGCCCAUCACUGCGGGCAAGCACCAUCCCCACCGCGGCUUUCCCCCUCAUCACUCCGCUCCGCUUCUCGAGCUGUGAUCUGAUUGGCUGUUGGAGGGGUGAGGCUCACUGCAGAGGCAAGAACAGCGGGUGCAGGGUGGGGUGGGCUUCCCCCUCUAGGCACGACUCACACACACAUAACCAACCACCCACCUACACACACACACACACACACGCAGGGAAUCCCUCCUCACUGUUUGCCGCAUGUCUCGUUUUCCAUUACACGCCGCCAUCGAAUCGUUCACCGCAUAAUCACGUUGGGAAGCAGUGCGCACCAAAUGUGAUUGAGUGGUUUUGGUAAUCUGAGGUUUCUUUUUUCUUCUAAGGUUUACCAGAUUUCACCUUUUGUCAGGAGGAGUUUGAGCGUGACUCCCAGCGCUGUGUUAUUUAUAGGGGGGGUCUGGGGUCCAGAGCUGAUGGUUAUGCACGGCUCUGCCAUCACAGGGUAAGACGACACACACCGGGAGGCAGCUGUCGAGCUAAGCUUGGGUUUCACUGAUGUGUGAGAUUGGCGGUGUUUGUUUGUGACAGCAGCGAAGUUGGCAUGAGGGAGCCCCCAGUGGAUUGGGAGAGGGACGUAUUUCCAGUUCUGUGUUGUGAGGGUGUGUUUGUGUGUUGUGAAUGUUAGUAUGCGUGCGUCAGAGGGAGGAACACAGACACUGAAAGGGCACAGCGACCUUUUGUAUACUGUUAAAAUGUAUAAACAUUCUCAAUGUGAAUGUGGGAUAUUUAUACUGGUACGGACGGGUUAAUGUUUUAGGAACGAAAGGAUGCCACACAACUGUGGGUUUCUACAGUGCCAUUAUUUCAGACAAAGCUACUGAUGUAGCUAGAGAGAGUAUGUCGUGUGACAUAAAAGAUACAUCUCAUGCAAAAAGCAAAUUUAUCAAAUUAAAUGUUAAUGCGUUGUAAAAAAAAAGAAUAUAACACAACAUUAAUGUGGAUUUGUGCAUUUUGCCUUUUGGAAAGCCCACUGCACUGCAGCCCUUCUAAUAAUAACUGACCGUGAUAUGAAUGGAGAAGUCCAUAUUUGGUGAAGGAGCACGGAGGUGGGGGGUUAUCUCAUGCCCUAACGGUCACAGAUGACAUCAGUCUGGACUGAUCUGGACACUCUUACUCUCCCCCUUAUCUGCGAGAGAGACGAGGGUUGCGGUAGUUGUGUUGUGGCCGUGCACGGUGCCAGGAAGCGCGAGGCGGCCCGAAGCACGGCCACACUGUUACCCGAGGAAUGGGAGGAAUGUUUGAGGACCCAAUGUGAGAGACACGCGGAUCCCUUCGGCUCUGAUGAAAUCAUUUAAGACCAGUUGUGGGUUUUUAGAUCAGGUGAUUACAAUGCGUGUGUGUUGUGUGCGAGUUCGGUCGUCAGGUGACUGAUGGCAGGGCCAUCGAUAAGACCUGUAAAGCGAUCAGCUGAUUCCUUCAGCCCCUAUUUUUAGAAAGGAAUGUGUUGCACACGGUAAAACAUUUCAAGUCAGUUAAACAUGCAAAUGAAAGUUCACCUGCUGCCUUGAAAAUGUGAGUCAACAAAAUGUGAAGAUUGCCUUUGAUUUAACCCACAAAUCAAAGUUUAUUAAGUUGAUUUAAUUGAAAGGUUCUAGUUGUCUCAACUGUUUACUGUCUAAGUUGUUUUUUUUCACUUCUUGUUUGAACUUGAUAUAGCGAGUUAAAAGAAAAGAAUUGUUUUGCAUGUACCUGACUGACUGUUUGCUUUAAAACAAAAAACCUAAAUCAUCCAUAAUUCUUACUUCUGAUUUAAAAAAUAAAGCAUUCAUUUGCUGAAAAUAUACACAAGAUUUACAGUUGUGUUUAAGUACAUCUCAAACAUGCAAACACCCAGAUAGUUUAAAAACAAGUGCACAACGUACAAAUAGAGGCAAUCCGACAGAAGGUGGGGUUGUGGACUUAAGAAGGUGGGGUUGUGGACAUUUUCGUGGACCUCUUAAUUAUCUUCCAUUUGUCACUAUACAACCAUGAGAUAAUUAGAGGAGGUCCAUGAAAUCAACCAUGAAAAUGUUCUUUACUAAUACCUCAGACAGUCCAUAAAAUCAAUACAGUUAUACUUAUACAAAUACACACAAUAUUAAACAUUAUAUUAACAAAUGACCUAUGUUGACAACCAUGAGGAAAAAUAUGAGAUAAUAAAUGUAGGUUCAUAAAAUCUCAAUAUGACAUUAUAACAAAUCACCUUGCAAAAUGUGGAAUGCUGAGAACUUCAUGAAUUAGUUCUUACUUUUUUUUCUUUGUUGUAAUCUCUUCUUGUGUUUAAAAACCAACCUGAACUUACAGAACACUUUGGUAGGUUUUUAACUUUUACAUUCAUGAACCAAACAUGACGUGCGUAACAGGCGACGUCCAAGUAGUUUGCAUUGUUGCUGAUUAUUGGUACGGUUUAAUGUCUAUAACGACCUUUUCAAGGAACUCAAAGGUCAACUUCAGAAUUAAAUAUUCAAUUUAAAAAAGAAGUUAAAUAAAGAUUUGAAGAAAAAUAACGUAAAGGUAAAUACAUCAGCAGCUAAACAACUGUUACAUUAGUAACAUUAAACAUUAUGUUAAUUAAGAACUAGACAAUGCUUGCUGAAUGCGUUGGAAUGAGAUUGAGGAAGAAGGAUUUCAAAGUUGAAGAAGUUCUAGGGGGAUUUGAAAAAGAUCUCCAUUGAAAAAACAUGUUAAAAAUAUAAAUAUUAAUUGAUGUUAAAUCAAGCAUAAAAUGUACAAAGCUGAAAAUGAAUAUCUUACUGGGUCGACGGUUUUAAGAGCUGAAAAUUUGAAGGAGCUGAAAACGUUUGAAAUAUGCAUGGAAGAAAUAGAAAGAUAAAGAGCAAAAUAAAUUGAGUCAUAAUACUGUAAGUUUAACUUUCGAGAAGAGUUUAUAUACAUCUCUUCCUUUUUCGCAUGUCCUUAGGUGAAAUGCCAUCUUGCGUCAUGCCCGGUAGGAAAUUGUAAUUGCUCAUGACGAGUAAUCGUACAGCCGUGGCUGAUGUGAAUGAGUUAAGUCUGGCAAAGCUAUGAAAAUGUAUAAAAUGUUAAACAAAUGACUUUUUACCUAUUAAUGUCACUAGGUUGAGCCAGAAUCCGGCAGAAUCCUCCCCUGGGGAUUAUGAAUAUCUGGAUAAAAAUUAUAUUAAUGUUAUAUUGUAUAUUGUACCUGCUGAAGGUGUCCUCUCAUCAAUGUGUGAAUGAUGAUUUGUGUUUUAAAGCGCUUUGAGUGGUCAAAAGACAGUAGAAAAGUGACAUAAAAGCACAGUGUUUUUAGUCUUUUCAGGAGAUUUUAUGCCAGUAACAAAAAUAAAGAUUCCCGCCAACCAUGCACUUUUAUG